AUGGCUAUUGCUGCCAAUGACAUUACAACUGUAGAGUCCUUGCAAUUUGAUUUUGUUACAAUUGAAAGUGUCACAAACAAAUUCUCAGAGGAUCACAAGCUUGGUGAAGGAUGAUUUGGUCAGGUUUACAAGGGAACACUUCCUAAUGGACAAGAAAUAGCUGUGAAGAGGUUAUCAAAAAGCUCAGGACAGGGUGCAGAACAAUUUAAGAAUGAGGUUGUAGUGGUAGCCCAACUUCAACACAGAAAUUUAGCAAGGCUAUUGGGUUUUUGCUUGCAAGGAGAAGAAAAGAUACUUGUUUAUGAAUAUGUGCCCAACAAGAGUCUUGACUAUAUUCUAUAUGACCCAAAAAAAGAGGGACUACUGGAUUGGUCAAGACGUUACAAGAUAAUAGGCGGGAUUGCUCGAGGAAUCCAAUAUCUACAUGAAGAUUCUCGACUUCGAAUUAUACAUCACGAUCUCAAAGUUAGCAAUGUAUUGUUGGAUGCAGAUAUGAACCCAAAAAUUUUAGAUUUUGGCAUGGCAAGGAUAUUUGGAGUUGAUCAAACUCAAGGAAACGCAAGUAGAAUUGUGGGAACAUAUGGUUAUAUGUCUCCAGAGUAUGCAAUGCACGGAGAAUUCUCUUUAAAGUCGGAUGUGUAUAGCUUUGGUGUCUUGGUUCUAGAGAUUAUCACUAGCAAGAAGAACAGUAAUUUCUAUGAAUCAGAAGUUUGGAUACAUUGGAGGGAUGGUAGGCCUUUGGAAUUGUUGGAUCCAGCUUUGGGAGAUUCCUUUUCUAGAGAUGAAGUCAUGAGAUGCAUCCAUGUUGGUUUAUUAUGUGUUCAAGAAGAUCCAGCUGACAGACCCACCAUGGCAACGAUAGGUCUCACACUUACAAGCAGCUCAGUUUCACUGCAAGCACCUCAACAGCCAGCAUUUUUCCCAAAACAGACACAAACCACCCAAUAA